GCAAGUCGAACGAGAAAGUACCUUCGGGUGCGAGUAGAGUGGCGCACGGGUGAGUAACGCGUAGGUAACCUACCUCAUAGCGGGGGAUAACCAGGAGAAAUUCUGGCUAAUACCGCAUACGAUCAAUGAAAUGGGAAAAAUUGAUGAAAGAAUGCCUCUCCUUGGAAGCAUUUACUAUGAGAUGGGCCUGCGUUGCAUUAGCUUGUUGGUGGGGUAAUGGCCUACCAAGGCGACGAUGCAUAGCUGGUCUGAGAGGAUGAUC
rnacentral:rRNA from 1 species